AAUUUGUUCGAACGGUGGAACAUGUGGUUUAAUGCGAUAAUCCACGUUAAAUCUUACCAAUAUUUAAUAUUAAGUUGUAGUAAAUUAAUAAUAUUAUAUAUUAUUUAACUUAAUUUCGGUAUUGCAUGGCUGUCGUCAGUUCGUGUCGUGAGAUGUAAAAUUAAGUUUUAUUCACGAACGCAACCUAAAUUAAAUUCUAUUUUAAUGUUUUAAUAAACUAUAAAAUUUAAUUUAAUAUUUACAUUUUAUGUAAAAAGGUUUUUAGCUGAAGUCAAGUCCUUAUGGUCUUUAUAUAUUGGGCUACACACGUGUUACAAUGGCAAAAACAAAAAGUAACAAAUACGUAAGUAAGAGUAAAUCUUAAAAAAUUGCCUAAGUUCAGAUUAUUUUAUGUAACUCUAAAAUAUGAAGAUGAAAUCGUUAGUAAUUAUAAGUUAGUAUAUUAUAGUGAAUUAUAAGUCAAAUUUUGCACACACUGCCCAUCACGCUCGAAAAAUUUUAUAAAAUGUAAAAUAAAAAACUAUAAUUAUUAGUAUUACUAAUAAAUUAGUGGUUUUUGUUGUAAUUUUAUGAGGUAAUUU
rnacentral:rRNA from 1 species